rnacentral:rRNA from 2 species
AACGAACGCUGGCGGCAGGCUUAACACAUGCAAGUCGAGCGCCCCGCAAGGGGAGCGGCAGACGGGUGAGUAACGCGUGGGAAUCUACCUUUUGCUACGGAAUAACGCAGGGAAACUUGUGCUAAUACCGUAUGUGUCCUUCGGGAGAAAGAUUUAUCGGCAAGAGAUGAGCCCGCGUUGGAUUAGCUAGUUGGUGGGGUAAAGGCCUACCAAGGCGACGAUCCAUAGCUGGUCUGAGAGGAUGAUCAGCCACAUUGGGACUGAGACACGGCCCAAACUCCUACGGGAGGCAGCAGUGGGGAAUAUUGGACAAUGGGCGCAAGCCUGAUCCAGCCAUGCCGCGUGAGUGAUGAAGGCCCUAGGGUUGUAAAGCUCUUUCACCGGAGAAGAUAAUGACGGUUUCCGGAGAAGAAGCCCCGGCUAACUUCGUGCCAGCCGCCGCGGUAA